GGAUUGUGGCUCAGCGGUAGAGCGCUCGCCUAGCAUGUGUGAGGCCCUGGGUUCAAUCCUCAGCACCA
rnacentral:tRNA from 1 species